rnacentral:tRNA from 1 species
GCCGAUGUAGCUCAGUUGGUAGAGCACCACCAUGGUAAGGUGGGGGUCAUCGGUUCAAUUCCGAUCAUCGGCUCCA